rfam:Halomonas sp. 54_146 DS1215_scaffold_12, whole genome shotgun sequence.
GUCAACUACCUCUCCCUGAAGGGAGAGGCUUGUGACAACAAGCCCGGUUGACCAGGGAGAGCGGUAGCCAACCCGCUACGUUGAUAACAGGUCGUUAAAACUCACCGGCAAGUGCUUCCUCAGCUUGCCGCUCUGAAAGGUUAGGAUCAUGCUGGCGCAAGGUAAAACGCCGAAGGUUCUAACCGCUGCCACAAGGCAGGAGCCGGUUAUCGACCUUCCCGAGGGGAGAUGGGG